rnacentral:rRNA from 1 species
UACGGAGGAUCCAAGCGUUAUCCGGAUUUAUUGGGCUUAAAGGGUGCGUAGGCGGCCUAUUAAGUCAGGGGUGAAAGACGGUAGCUUAACUAUCGCAGUGCCUUUGAUACUGAUGGGCUUGAAUGUACUUGAGGUAGGCGGAAUGUGACAAGUAGCGGUGAAAUGCAUAGAUAUGUCACAGAACACCAAUUGCGAAGGCAGCUUACUAAAGUAUGAUUGACGCUGAGGCACGAAAGCGUGGGGAUCAAACAGG